rnacentral:rRNA from 1 species
AGAGUUUGAUCCUGGCUCAGGAUGAACGCUGGCGGCGUGCUUAACACAUGCAAGUCGAACGAUGAUCCCAGCUUGCUGGGGGAUUAGUGGCGAACGGGUGAGUAACACGUGAGUAACCUGCCCUUAACUCUGGGAUAAGCCUGGGAAACUGGGUCUAAUACCGGAUAUGACUCCUCAUCGCAUGGUGGGGGGUGGAAAGCUUUAUUGUGGUUUUGGAUGGACUCGCGGCCUAUCAGCUUGUUGGUGAGGUAAUGGCUCACCAAGGCGACGACGGGUAGCCGGCCUGAGAGGGUGACCGGCCACACUGGGACUGAGACACGGCCCAGACUCCUACGGGAGGCAGCAGUGGGGAAUAUUGCACAAUGGGCGAAAGCCUGAUGCAGCGACGCCGCGUGAGGGAUGACGGCCUUCGGGUUGUAAACCUCUUUCAGUAGGGAAGAAGCGAAAGUGACGGUACCUGCAGAAGAAGCGCCGGCUAACCACGUGCCAGCAGCCGCGGUAAUACGUAGGGCGCAAGCGUUAUCCGGAAUUAUUGGGCGUAAAGAGCUCGUAGGCGGUUUGUCGCGUCUGCCGUGAAAGUCCGGGGCUCAACUCCGGAUCUGCGGUGGGUACGGGCAGACUAGAGUGAUGUAGGGGAGACUGGAAUUCCUGGUGUAGCGGUGAAAUGCGCAGAUAUCAGGAGGAACACCGAUGGCGAAGGCAGGUCUCUGGGCAUUAACUGACGCUGAGGAGCGAAAGCAUGGGGAGCGAACAGGAUUAGAUACCCUGGUAGUCCAUGCCGUAAACGUUGGGCACUAGGU